rnacentral:rRNA from 1 species
ACGGACGGGGGCCCGCACAAGCGGUGAGCAUGUGUUUAAUUCGACGCAACGCGAAGAACCUUUACCUGGGUUUGACAUCUUGGGAAUCUUUUAGAAAUAAGAGAGUGCCCCGCAAGGGGAGCCCGAAGACAGGUGCUGCAUGGCUGUCGUCAGCUCGUGUCGUGAGAUGUUGGGUUAAGUCCCGCAACGAGCGCAACCCUUUAUCUUCAGUUACCAUCAUUUAGUUGGGGACUCUGGAGAUACUGCCCCGGUUAACGGGGAGGAAGGUGGGGAUGACGUCAAGUCCUCAUGGCCUUUAUAUCCAGGGCUACACACGUGCUACAAUGGUCCGUACAAAGGGUUGCAAGCCUGCGAGGGUGAGCUAAUCCCGAAAAGCGGAUCUCAGUUCGGAUUGGAGUCUGCAACUCGACUCCAUGAAGUUGGAAUCGCUAGUAAUCGUGGAUCAGCAUGCCACGGUGAAUACGUUCCCGGGCCUU